GUACCGCUGCGGUACAGGUGUGCUUCCUGGUAUUUCCCUUGAGCCUACUUUUACCCCCGGGGGCAAUGCUGUUUAGAUGUUGAUGUGCAUAUCCGUUCUGCGGAGAGCCUAAUUCAUUUUCCGGUGCUCCCACUUGAACCUUUGGUUCAAGGACAACGGCAGCCACGGUAUUCGUGGGGUACC
rnacentral:other from 1 species